UCUUGAAUAAUCUUUUGUUUUUUUUUUCUUUUGCAAUAUAUUUUCUGACCAUUUUUGUACGACAAUUCAAUUCGACUUUUUUGAGAUGCAUGUGUAAUCUUAAAGGUGAUUAACUUUUCCGCGAUUAUUUACUUUCUAAGAAUUUACUUUUCGAGAGUAUACUGUAUUCAUAAUGAAAUAUAUGGUUUUGCUUUUAGCCAUAACAUUUUUCAAAAGUAGUAAUUUGAAGCUAACGCAGUAGCCAAGAAUUGAGUUAUCAUAACAUAUCACAAAAUUAAUCGCUCACAAAUUACUUCUAAUGCAUGAAAAAAUAAUAAAAUUGAACACAAAAGAAACGAGAUUUACCAUACGAGAUUUACUCCACUGCAGCGGGAGCAGGUUGCAGUGGUUGUACUGUUACUGCAAACCAACUCUACGUCGCACCGGUGUCGCAGUCCACGAAGACUCGGACCAGGAAAGCGCCGUAAGUAUAAAUACGGAUAAGGAGGAUGAACUUCUUCGCUCUCCGGAGCUAUCGACCGAGGGUUCCAACUCUGGCAACAAGAGAGGGCCCCGGAAGAAGCCAAGCAAGGAGGGGUUGAAGGCAAAGGCGCGAUAUAAAGCGGCGGUCGGGAUUUGCAACCGACUCGAAGGCAAGCCUAACCUGAAGGAGGAGGAAGAGAAAAGGUUGGCUUGGGCCAGAGAAGAGGUAAAGAACGGCUGAGCUCACUUCGCCACUCGUAAUUGGUGCAAUGCUUCAGAUCCAGCGUUUGCGAAUCGCAUUGAGGAGCAUAAUGCGGAGAAGAGGCAGCGCUCUACGGAGGGUGAAACGAAGGCACCAACAAAAAGGAGGAGAUGCAAAGACGUAGCUGAGAAGCUAGACGUCAGGCAUACGGACGAGAAGCCGACAACGUCCAAAGCAGCGGCGGCGGUCAAUGAGAUUGCGAGGCGACACUUGAUCGUUGCGCUCAUCGAUCGCAGCAACCCGCUGGGACAGAUGUCACAAGAGCGGUGGAAAACAGUGGAGAUGAAGCUGUUGGAAGCCCUCUUCGCACGGAUGGACUCCGAUCCAAGCGCACCCAUGCCAACUUUCGAUGGAGCGGGGUGGCUUGGGGGGGUCAAGCUCCUGAAAUGUAAAGACGACCCGUCGUUGACCUGGGUGAAGGAGGCUGUAAAAACGCUUCCGAACCUAUGGGAAAACGCCAAAUUGGAGGUGGUAGACCGUAGCAGCAUUCCUUUGAUGCCCAAAGCGAAGGUUAUUAUACCUAGGGUGGUAGACCUGAAUCAUGCUCUGCGGUUACUACAAAGACAAAACCCGGGCGUGCCGACUAGCGACUGGAGGGUACUAAGCGUGGCGUAAUCUUCAAACGAAGACGGAGGCCAAAGCUACAUCCUCCAGAUUAAUAAAGCGGCGGACGACAUAAUCUAUGCGAGGUUCGGGAAGAUGGCAUGGGGCGUUGGUAGCGUGUACCUUCGCCUCAAAAAGCGCCACCCCGCGGACGGCAACGAGAACACGCUAGAAAAAGGUGAAGUGGAGAAGGAUCUCGGCAUCAAAGAGAUCAUGGCGACUUCACUGGUCUUACAGGAGGUGGAGAGGGCACCUACCCAGCAAUCUGAUGGCGCAAAAUCAGGAGCUGAGGGUACUUCAGGUGAACCUCCACAAGAGUAGGAUCGCCUCAGCCGAGCUCCUUCUCAAUUUAGAGAAGGGCGGCUACGACGUGGCUCUAGUCCAGGAACCAUGGAUAGCUUCGGGAAACGUGGUCUCUGGGCUAAAGUCCAAAAACUUUAUAACAUACAUCCCGAGCGUAACCAACAGGGUAAGAACGGCAAUACUGGUGAGCAAAAAACUGUAUUCUCAUGUUGAUCUCAAUCUUUCCACAGAUGACUUAACGGUGGUGGGUGUAAAGGGUGUCAAGGAUGAGCUCAUACUCCUUGCAUCCUGCUACAUGCCACACGAUAGCGAGGCGCCAACGGCGGAGCUCCAUAGACUGGCGGUUACAUCCAGUGACAGGAGGCAGGCGCUGGUGAUGGGCGCCGAUGCCAACGCCCAUCAUACGAUCUGGGGAAGCCCAGACAUAAACCAGAGAGUACGAGUCUUCACAACUAACGGAAACGAAAAUCAAAAUAUUCCCAAAAGCAACCUCAAGUCGUACCAUCAAGCAACUACAAGCUAAAGCUAAGGAACAAAUAGGCAAAAACAAACUAAAAAUGAUCAAUCACAAACAAAGAAAUCAACAACUCCAACUCAGAUGAUAGUGAUGACUUUGAUAGUCUCACUAUGUAAGAGAAAACAAUAUUGAGUGGACCCUUAAUAUUAAAUGCCGGUUAGUAACAUAGUAACGAAAAUGGCACCAGAACAAACUAGAAUUGACAAUCAAAUGGGCAGAUUUUGUCAAUACAAUCGGAAGCGAAUGGGGUGUCUUCACAGUUCGAAGAGCAGGAGGAAGAGUCAAUGGAUGAGAUCUCGAAUAAAGCAGACAUGUUAGCACAGCUGGAAGUGCAUAAGGAGAACAUGUCCACAUAUUUGGAAGCGAAUGAGACUUGUAUGUCAAGACCUUUGGUAGCGCAUGGAUAUAUUUUGUUAGAACUAUUGGAAGUGAAUGGGGUGUCCUCAAAGUUGAAAGAGGAAGAGUCGAUAGAGGGAAAUCAGGAAACAGGAGUGGUUUGAUGGCUAGGGCGGAGAAAUACCCAAUUCUAAGCCAAGAGACUGACGAGAUGGUGGACGUGGACAUCAAAAGUUGGGAGAUGUCCCAGAAGCUAUGUGUCCGGAAAAUAUUUGAAGCUGCAUCACUUCCACGAUCCGAUAUCAUGGUGGAAAGAUUCAUCCGAAUUUUGGAAGAGCAUUUUAGAAAGCUGGUGGACAGGUAUCACCACAGGCAUAGAGGAUGUCCAUAUAUCCAUGUUCCUGGCUUAUCGGCCUGCUGUACAGGAAUCAACGGCGUAGACGACAGCGAGUAUAAUUUUUGGUUACCGAAUGAUUUAAGGUUUAUGAUUAAUGAAAAUGGAGAAAGGAAGGUUAAGGAGGACGACAGUGUCCUAGAAGACGAAAUUAAGGGAAGAAAUGCUAAGCGUUUAGUUCUGGAAGUAUGUCUAAUCGGUACGAUCAGACUUAAGUGGAGGGCAGUGUAACGAAAAUGGCACCAGAACAAACUAGAAUUGACAAUCGAAAUCGAUAACUUGCCAGAAGAAUCUAGGCAUCGAUAUUCGUAGAUGCCAGAAUGUUCGAGUGCCGAUGUAUCGCUUACAAUCGACUAUAUAAGGGCUGCCGGACUGGCAGCAAGACACAGUUCUGAUAAGAGAGUUGUCGAGUGAGGACAAUUCUAAGGAGAGAGUUGUCGAGCAAAGUGUAAACAAGUUUAAGUUAGAGUUGUAAAGUAGAGUACUGAGUAAUGAAGUGUUAACUUAUAAGUAUUUAUAAAUAAAGAUUAGUGUAUAGCCAUUAAAGUGUGACUUUUAUUUGACAAUCCAGUGAUCGAACUCAGGGUAGAGUUUUAGAGUAAAUGACAGAUUUUGGAAAUCCGUUACGAUAUAAUAAUAUGGGAAUUGAAAUACAUAUCUUUAUUUAAAAUUAUUUACAGAACGGUUUCAAUGGCAAGAAUGCGGGAUAAGUGCUACAACCAUCACCUUUUCUCAAUCGGAAUUGGUAAUUGACCUUAAAGAAGAUGCGGAAAUCUUGCUCUUGCUUGCUCAUUGAAUUGAAACGGUUUCAAUGGCAAGAAUGCGGGAUAAGUGCUACAACCAUCACCUUUUCUCAAUCGGAAUUUUUAAUUGACCUUAAAGAAGAUGCGAAGAUCCGAUAUUUCUGAACCUUUUUUUGGCCAUAGCAAUAAUUCAACGCAAAUCCUGAUAAAAGAGCGCCUCAAAAUUAUGCAAUAAUCAGCAAUCGUUGCCAUCAAUAGAUAUUGCAGUAAUUGAUACGAUUGUUCUAAAUUUAAAAACUAAACUAAAUAUAAAUUUGUAAUGAUGUAAAAUGUAAUGAAAUACAAUAAAAAAAAUUAAUUGUUUUUAACUGUUAGCGGAAAUAGGUAACAGAUAUAGGUAACAAGCUGCUAAACAAAACAAAAUCCCUUACGGUAACAAAUACAAAUAGGUGCUAACAUAUGUUUUAAACUGUUAGUUGUCAAAACUUGACCAAUAAGGGCAAAUGUACGUGUUAUCGUAAAACGGGACCACUUAUGCAAAAUGUAAUUGAAUAGAGUGAGAAGAGCAUUGAACGAGUAGGGGCAUAUUGUUACUUCUUUCCCACGCUUCGAACAAAAGUUACAAACAUAGCUAUAACAUGUUAGCUGAAAAUUACCCGUCUAUUUGCAUAAAUUGUCAAAAAAAUGUGUCGGUAGAACGUCAUGCUGAUGCUAGUGUUACCGAAAAUUCACGCAGAAAAAUUGGCAACCCUACUGUUGUGAUUGACAUCUCGAACGCACAAAUUUUCAUCGAUAAAAGAAAAUGGUAUAAUAAUACUUGCCAUAGGAGAAAUAAAAAACAUGGUGUUGAUGCUCAUUAAAUUCUCUGCCGAGAAUAAUAAAUCAUCCAAAAUUUUAAGACCAGACAAAACGAUUUGAGUAUAUAAAUAAAUAUAUUUAAGUGAACCGAUCUCUCAAAUUCUUCGACUUAUUGGACAACACUUAAAUACAAUCACGUAAAUACAAUAAAAACAAGUAAGGAAUGGCUAAGUUCGGGUGAAACCGAACAUUUUAUACUCUCGCAAUUUAUUGCUAUAUUUUUAUUAAGAAAACACACAAUUUGUCCCAUAUAUUCGGCAUAAAUAUAUUUCACAUAAUAACCGAUUUAUAAGCUAUAUUAGCUAUAUAUAGUAUUUUUGAAAAUCCUAUAAUUAGGUAUUCUCAUAUAUUCAUAUAAGGGAAGUUAUGACCGGAUUUUAACCUUUUCUGGUACACAGACACACUAUUAGAAGAAAAGUAUUUCCUCUGAAUUAAAUUAAGACACCUAAGAGAUUUACCGAAAUUUUCGGUGAAAAGUUACCAUGGGGCACUGAGUUCUUCAUAUUCGAUAUCUGAUUUCGACAAAUUUUUCACAAGUGAUGCCUAAGAUCAUAUACAGUAUUUGUGUAAAGUUUUAUUUUGCUAUCUUCAUUAGUUCCUUAUGUAUAUAUCAUAAAGUGAAGGAAUAAGAUGGAAUUCAAAAAUGAGUUAUAUGGAAAGUUGAAGUGGUUGUGAACCGAUUGCGCCCUUUUUCCACACGUGUCAUCAGGGUGUCAAGAAAAUAUUAUAUACUGAAUUUCAUUGAAAUCUGUUGAAUACUUCCUGAGAUAUUGUUUUUGACCCAUAAGUGGGCGAUG